GCGAGCUGGUACUGCACAGGUGUCCUAUUGUAAAGAUUUGAAGGACUUCGGAAAAUGAUCUCCGCUUUCCUUUUUCGAAGAUCCUCAGAAUUACUAAGAAAAUGCAUCGGACCCCAUGCGCCUCCUCCCCCACGCCAAACCUUCGGGCUUCGCACGACGGGUGAACUAUUGCUGUCGACAGCAACCAAUUCACGCCUUUACACCAAAACAGCCACAGCCGCACCAAACAUGCCGCUGGGUCGGUACCGCGAGCUGUUGAUAGGAUGCCAGAAGUCCGGUAUUAACCCCAGUUCUGGCAUCAUCUGUCCAAGCAGGUCAAGACAGAGCUGGAACCAGAAAACAAGUAAAUUCAGUAAUUUGGCAUAAAAGCAAUGAAAUCAGUCAACAAUGCAAUGAGCCUGAAAAGGUUCAUGCUGAGGCAGGAGGUUCUCCACAUGUACAGAGAUAUCCUGAGAGCAUUGAGAGGAGUUCCAGAGAAGGAUAGGAGUGCAUUGAAGACGUGGGUCAGGGAGGAGUUUGAACUUCAUCGGUCUGUUGAGGAUGAG
rnacentral:lncRNA from 1 species